rnacentral:tRNA from 1 species
GGGCGAUUAGCUCAGGGGUAGAGCACCUCGUUUACACCGAGGGUGUCGGGGGUUCAAAUCCCUCAUCGCCCACCA